UACGACUACAUAUCAGGCAUAUCAAUAAGCGGAGGAAAAGAAACUAACAAGGAUUCCCCUAGUAACGGCGAGUGAAGCGGGAAGAGCUCAAAUUUGAAAUCUUCAAGGUUCUACCUUGACGAAUUGUAGUUUAAAGAAGUGUUUUCGGUUAGAGGAGUAGUAAAAGUUCUUUGGAAUAGGACAUCAUAGAGGGUGAGAAUCCCGUAUUUGACUAUUCUUUCUAGCCUUGUGAUACACUUUCAAAGAGUCGGAUUGUUUGGGAAUGCAGUCCAAAAUGGGUGGUAAAUUUCAUCUAAAGCUAAAUAUUGGCGAGAGACCGAUAGCGAACAAGUACCGUGAGGGAAAGAUGAAAAGAACUUUGAAUAGAGAGUUAAACAGUACAUGAAAUUGUCAAAAGGGAAGCGUUUGACACCAGUGUUGUUUUCUACGAAAAUCAAUUUAUGAUGGCUUGAUGCUAAGCUUUAAGACUUUAUCCGCUUGUUGUUUAGUUUUCUUGUCUUUGUGAAUGCACUUUUCGUGGAACAAGUCAACAUCAAUUUCUUUUGCUGUAAAAGGGUAAGAGGAAGGUGGCUUCGGCUUCGGUUGAAGUGUUUAUAGCCUUUUAUCUCUGCAGUCGGAGAGAUUGAGGUCUGCAGCGUAGACUCUUCGGGGUUAGAUACGUCGGUGCUAAGCUAUAGCUUUUCAUAGACAACUUGUUGACUAUGUUUAGUCAUGUGGCUUACCCGCUGGCGCUACUUUACCUACGCUUAGGAUGUUGACUGAUAUGUAGUCGUA
rnacentral:rRNA from 1 species